rfam:Triticum aestivum genome assembly, contig: Triticum_aestivum_CS42_TGACv1_scaffold_147226_2BS
GUACUACUCCCUCCGUUCGGAAUUACUUGUCGCGAAAAUGGAUGUAUCUAGGUCUAGAUACAUCCAUUUGUGCGACAAGUAAUUCCGAACGGAGGGAGUACAUA